GACGAACGCUGGCGGCGUGCCUAAUACAUGCAAGUCGAGCGCAGGAAACUGACGGAACUCUUCGGAGGGAAGGCAGUGGAAUGAGCGGCGGACGGGUGAGUAACACGUAAGGAACCUGCCUCAAGGAUUGGGAUAACUCCGAGAAAUCGGAGCUAAUACCGGAUAGUUCAUCGGACCGCAUGGUCCGUUGAUGAAAGGCGCUCCGGCGUCACCUUGAGAUGGCCUUGCGGUGCAUUAGCUAGUUGGGGGGGUAACGGCCCACCAAGGCGACGAUGCAUAGCCGACCUGAGAGGGUGAUCGGCCACACUGGGACUGAGACACGGCCCAGACUCCUACGGGAGGCAGCAGUAGGGAAUCUUCCACAAUGGACGAAAGUCGGAUGGAGCAACGCCGCGUGAGUGAUGAAGGCUUUCGGAUCGUAAAACUCUGUUGUAAGGGAAGAACACGUACGAGAGGGAAUGCUCGUACCUUGACGGUACCUUACGAGAAAGCCACGGCUAACUACGUGCCAGCCGCCGCAGUAA
rnacentral:rRNA from 1 species